GUCUUAUCUAACAUGUGCUGUGGAACUGGAACCAAAUUAAGCAAGAGGGAGACCAAUAAUCCUAUACUAAACAUAAUGGAUCCAACUGGGGUUUUCCAUCCCCUUACCUAGAAAUAACAAUCUAUAAAGUUAUAUUUGGGACAGGAGUUGGCCAAGCCCCUAUUUAAAUAUAUAUAUCACAGACCCACCUAAGUGGAUUGCAG